GGCUUUGGGGAGGGGGUGGGAGAGACGACAGGUCUGGGAUCAGGGAGUCUUCAAGGCCCCCGCUGAGGGGACAGCGAAUCUACCAUUGAACCGUGCACGGGGGACAUGGACAAAAUGAGACGCGACAGGGACAAGAGCAUUUUGCUCUGCUUCCAGGAAACAUCAAGUAGACUUCGCUUGAAAAGAUCGAGAAUGGAGGAGGGGAUCGGCACUCACUUGCAGACAUCAACAGUUUCCAGAAAAUUCGGUUCAAUUCCUUCACCACGGACCCACCAACCAAGGAGCUGGCAAAACCCACUAACCAACCAGGAGAACACAGACCCGGUUUGUCUUUUGACAACCGAGUGGAACUGACGGGGCCGGCGCCUGCCCUGCGGGUCCCCUCCCUUGGCUGAGAAGAAAACCAAAUAAACCUUGAACAGCCUUGGCUUCG
rnacentral:lncRNA from 1 species